AGAGUUUGAUCCUGGCUCAGAUUGAACGCUGGCGGUAUGCUUAACACAUGCAAGUCGAACGGAAACGAUGGUAGCUUGCUACCAGGCGUCGAGUGGCGGACGGGUGAGUAACGCGUAGGAAUCUGCCUGAUAGUGGGGGAUAGCCCAGAGAAAUCUGGAUUAAUACCGCAUAAUCUCUAUGGAGUAAAGGAGCCCUCUUCUUGAAAGGUUUCGCUAUCAGAUGAGCCUGCGUAAGAUUAGCUUGUUGGUGAGGUAAAAGCUCACCAAGGCGACGAUCUUUAGCUGGUCUGAGAGGAUGAUCAGCCACACUGGAACUGAGACACGGUCCAGACUCCUACGGGAGGCAGCAGUGGGGAAUAUUGGACAAUGGGCGCAAGCCUGAUCCAGCAAUACCGCGUGUGUGAAGAAGGCCUGAGGGUUGUAAAGCACUUUCAAUUGUGAAGAAAAGCUAAUGGCUAAUACCCAUU
rnacentral:rRNA from 1 species